GGAGACCCGGCUUUACACUGCAGGAUCUUCAGCGUGAUGGUGCUGAUCAGACAGACUCGUCUCGUGGACCCUGAUUGGUCCAAACCAAUGAAGAGAGAAGAUGGAGGGGGGUGUGCCUGUGAUGUGGAAUAGAUGAAGCUUCAUGAUUGGCUGAGACUGGAAAUGAAUGAAGAAGGAUCACGGACUGGCACGGCCAUGACACGAGCAUCGUGACAGCGACAGUGCUGGAGGAAGUGAGUGUUUUAUAACCCUGUAAUCAGGAGCUGCUGUCAGGAGAAGAAUCCCACUGUGACUCAUCGUUCUUUGCUCCGUCCGGUUCCUCCACCAGCACACAGAACCUGUGAGUGAGGAGGCGAGGUUCUAAUCGAG
ensembl:lncRNA